rnacentral:rRNA from 1 species
AGAUGGCGACCGGCGCACGGGUGAGUAACACGUAUCCAACCUGCCGAUAACUCGGGGAUAGCCUUUCGAAAGAAAGAUUAGUACCCGAUGGUAUAAUCAGACCGCAUGGUCUUGUUAUUAAAGAAUUUCGGUUAUCGAUGGGGAUGCGUUCCAUUAGGCAGUUGGUGAGGUAACGGCUCACCAAACCUUCGAUGGAUAGGGGUUCUGAGAGGAAGGUCCCCCACAUUGGAACUGAGACACGGUCCAA